AGAACGAACGCUGGCGGCGUGGAUAAGACAUGCAAGUCGAACGGGACAGUCUUGUAGCAAUAUGAGACUGUUCAGUGGCGAACGGGUGCGUAACACGUGGGUCACAUUCCGGGAAGUGAGAAAUAGCCCAGGGAAACUUGGAUUAAUAUCUCAUGUGGUCGCAAGACUAAAGGCGCAAGCCGCUUCCUGAUUGGCCCGCGGCCUAUCAGCUUGUUGGUGAGGUAAUGGCUCACCAAGGCAGCGACGGUAGCUGGUCUGAGACGGACGACCAGCCACACUGGAACUGAGACACGGUCCAAGACACCGUACGGGUCGCAGGCAGUCGAGAAUCUUACAACAAGUACGGGGAACCCU
rnacentral:rRNA from 1 species